UACCCACUCCCGGCACGGGGAGGUAGUGACAAAAAAUAACGAUACGGGUACUCUUAUGAGGCCCCGUAAUCGGGAAUGAGUACACUUUAAAUCCUUUAACAAGGUAUCCAUUGGCAGGGAAAGUCUGGUGCCAGCAGCCGCGGUAACUCCAGCUCCAAUAGCGUAUAUUAAAGUUGUUGCGGUUAAAAAGCUCGUAGUUGGUUCUGCGUGCCACGCUGCUGGUUCGCCGCCUGUCGGUGUAACUGGCAUGCCGUGGUAUGUCCUGUCGGUGGUGUUCGGGAGCCUUGUCAGGUAACGGUCCAUACUUUGUGUGGUAUCGCGGCCGGAGGUCAUACCCGUUCACCUACUUCUAUCCUACCUGGGUGCUCUUUACCGAGUGUCGAGGUAGGCCGACACGUUUACUUUGAACAAAUUAGAGUGCUCAAAGCAGGCUGAAAUUUCUGCCUGAAUAGUGGUGCAUGGAAUAAUAAAACAGGACCUUGGUUCUAUUUUGUUGGUUCUUAGGAACACAAGGUAAUGAUCAAUACGGACAGGCGGGGGCAUUCGUAUUGCGACGUUAGACUUGGCAAAUGCUUUCGCGGUGAAAUUCUUGGAUCGUCGCAAGACGCACAAGAGCGAAAGCAUUUGCCAAGUAUGUCUUGAUUGAUCAAGAACGAAAGUUAGAGGUUCGAAGGCGAUCAGAUACCGCCCUAGUUCUAACCAUAAACGAUGCCAGCCAGCGAUCCGCCGAUGUUCCUCCGAUGACUCGGCGGGGAGCUUUUCCCCGGGAAACCAAAGCUUUUGGGUUCCGGGGGAAGUAUGGUUGCAAAGCUGAAACUUAAAGGAAUUGACGGAAGGGCACCACCAGGAGUGGAGCCUGCGGCUUAAUUUGACUCAACACGGGAAACCUCACCAGGCCAGGACAUUGGAAGGAUUGACAGAUUGAUAGCUCUUUCUUGAUUCAGUGGGUAGUGGUGCAUGGCCGUUCUUAGUUGGUGGAUCGAUUUGUCUGGUUAAUUCCGAUAACGAACGAGACUCUAGCCUAUUAACUAGGCGUUUACCGGUGUCCUCGCCACCGGCGUUUCUCAUUCUUCUUAAGGGGACAGGCGGCUUAUAGCCGCACGAGAUUGAGCAAUAACAGGUCUGUGAUGCCCUUAGAUGUCCUGGGCCGCACGCGCGCUACACUGAAGGAAUCAGCGUGUGCCUCCCUGGCCGAAAGGCCCGGGUAAUCCGUUGAACCUCCUUCGUGCUAGGAAUUGGGGCUUGCAAUUGUUCCCCAUGAACGAGGAAUUCCCAGUAAGCGCGAGUCAUAAGCUCGCGUUGAUUACGUCCCUGCCCUUUGUACACACCGCCCGUCGCUACUACCGAUUGAAUGAUUUAGUGAGGUCUUCGGACUGGCGGUAAUCUCCUAUCACGUCAGUGGUUUAGAUGAACGCUGGAAAGAUGACCAAACUUGAUCAUUUAGAGGAAGUAAAAGUCGAAACAAGGUUUCCGUAGGU
rnacentral:rRNA from 1 species